AUGAUAGAGGCGCGGGCUUCAUCAGUAGCCGGAAAAAUGUACGGGAAUACGCCGGCAAAAGGGGAUCCCGCCGAAGUGUACAUGUCUCCCGAACGUGUAUGCUGGUAUAACGCGAAAGACGCGUUAUACUGUCGUUCAGACUGAACGGAGUGCUAUUCG
rnacentral:ncRNA from 1 species